rnacentral:rRNA from 1 species
UGGGGAAUAUUGCACAAUGGGCGCAAGCCUGAUGCAGCCAUGCCGCGUGUGUGAAGAAGGCCUUCGGGUUGUAAAGCACUUUCAGCGGGGAGGAAGGCGAUAAGGUUAAUAACCUUGUCGAUUGACGUUACCCGCAGAAGAAGCACCGGCUAACUCCGUGCCAGCAGCCGCGGUAAUACGGAGGGUGCAAGCGUUAAUCGGAAUUACUGGGCGUAAAGCGCACGCAGGCGGUCUGUCAAGUCGGAUGUGAAAUCCCCGGGCUCAACCUGGGAACUGCAUUCGAAACUGGCAGGCUAGAGUCUUGUAGAGGGGGGUAGAAUUACAGGUGUAGCGGUGAAAUGCGUAGAGAUCUGGAGGAAUACCGGUGGCGAAGGCGGCCCCCUGGACAAAGACUGACGCUCAGGUGCGAAAGCGUGGGGAGCAAACAGG